CCCACAAAACCCUUCUCCUGCAAUCAUUUCCAAUAUAAAGCCUUUCUCUCUCCUGCCAACAAAACCCAUUUUCUUUCCUCUCCAAAACCCACGGCCAUAAAACCCACAAAACCUACCCACAUCCCCCAUUGCUUGGAGGAAGCCAUUUCCGGAAAAAACUUAUGGAAGCCAUGCCGAAGAAGCCCCAUGGAAGCUAUGGUCCAUAAAGCCAAAGCCACCUCCAAGAAAUUCCCGUAAAAAUCGUUUCUCUCUAGGUUUUGGGUUUUGGUGCUUUUGGAAAAACCACACUUAAUUACUUCCCAAGGAAAUGUCACAUCGAAGAGGAAGAGUACAAAUAGUGUCUCCGGAAGAUGAGUUGGACAAUCUACAACAACUCUUAGACAUACAACCUGCUGCAACUACUACUCCUAGUAGUUCUGAUCCUUCUGAUUCUUCAGAUCCUUCUGCUGUUGGAAAAAUAUGAACUAGAAGAAACAUGUAAGAGCUACAUUCUUCAAUGUUGUGGAAAUUUGUUUAGAAGCUAUAGAAAUAAAAUGAAGGCCAAGUAUUAUAACCCUUAUAAUACAGAUGAGAAGAGAUUGUGCCAUCGACCUCCACACUUAUCGGAUGAUGAUUGGAGGUGGCUCAUCCACUUUUGGGGUACACCUGAGGCCAAGGAUAUCUCAGGAAAAAAAAAAAAAAACAAGGCAAAUAGGGCAAAACAAGUGAUAAAGCAUACAUCGGGAUCAAAAAGUUAUGCUCAAAUUCGAUAUGAACGGCAAUUACUAUCCCAAAUUGAGGAGACAUCUUCUUCUACUUCUGCAUCAUCUGGAGCAUCUACAUCUGUAUCAUCUAACUUUUUUUGCUUUCUAUGACUAUUAUGUGAUGUUUGGUUGGUUGAUUUGUUAUAUUAUGUUAGAAUGUGAAACUAAAUUUGAAUCUC